AGGAAAGUGACACUUGGUAUUAUUUUAUCAAAUCUUGUUUGUCUUCUUUUUUCUCUUAAAAGAUUAAAAGAGUCCAGAAGCUUUCCCCUCCUGUGUCUUGUUGGCAGUGGAUUGUUUUCUUGUACCUCUGACUCUUUGAAGAGAUUGCAUCUCUAAGAGUGGCUACUUUAAGCAUCAGCCCCAAAACUUGAAAAGGAAAGAGCUCCCUCAUACCAACUGCAUUCCCAGCUGCUUGUCCAGUUACUCUGGUUUCUUGUUUAGCCCUCUGCUUUCUGCUCCAGCUGUGCUGUGUGUGGCUCUGUGUGAGUCUGUUUGUUAACACCAUGCUUGGUAUGUUAAAGUGGAAUUUCUUCUAUGAUUCUUCCUUUGUGACUCUCCCACACCAAGGGUCAGAUCUUGAAAGUAGAACUUCUGAGGUUGAAAGCAUUUGGAGAUUUAGAUGUCACGAUCUUGAGCCAGGUGUGGUGGUGCACACCUGCAGUCUGGGAAGAGGCAGCCUCAGUUCCAUGGUGACUCUGAGAUAAACUUGAUGAGUCAUGAGACCAGCCUCAAAAAUAUUAACAGAUCAACAGUACCCCUACCCCCACCUUAGCAAUAUUUUAAGAUCUUGAUUUACCCAGAUACUGAUUUCUUUAGUGUCCUAUGUGAUGAACUGUUCUAAUACACUGGGGCAGGCUCCAACAAGGAUGUCAUGGGGUGUCUCAGCUCUUAUAGUAGACACAGGAUGCUGUCCCUGUCCUCCUUGCUUGAACUUAAUAGUUAGAGAGCAGUGUGGAGGUUAGGACUGCUGGUCUAUUGAGCGUGUCUGAGAUGUGGAUUUCAGCCCCACUUGGUCAAGGCACCGGAAGAAGCCUCUUUGUCCCCUCUGAGGUGCUAAGAGGCAUCAGUUUAGUCAAGCGAGAUAGUUAGUGAAUGUCUAGUACAAGCAAAGUAAACCCAACCCUCUUUCACUCUGAUCCUGGUGGGUGUGCAGAUUGGAGCUUGUAAAACACACUGGGAAGUCUGGUGACCGUGUUCGUUUUCUCUUGCACAUCUUGGUUAGGGCUUAUGCUGGUAAUUUCUUUAAAACAUAUGAAGUAAUUUUCCAACUAAUAUCUUAUUAGUGGAAAGCGUCAUUAGGUCAUAUUAGAUAAUGACUUUUAAAAAUUUCUCUGUUGUUAGAUGGAUGCUCAUUUAAAUGAAGAUUUUAAUUGAAGGAAGUCGUGCAAAAUGUAAUUAUGGCAUGCACAAUGGACAUGCCUGUUCUCUGUGCUGUGAAAUGACCCACAUGAGGCCAGCAGUUCUGCCUGCAUAGAAAGCGCUUCUCUGGAGACUCCAUGCACGUCUGAUUUAAUUUCAUAAGAGACUUUCCCCCAGGAGUCUGUCUACCCUAAUUAUGUGGGCGGGCUGGAGAGUGAUUUUGUACUCAGAGGUUGUAGAUGUCUCUGUACAGCCUCCCAUUUACAGAAGUACUAUGAUGGCUGAUCGUGUAAAUCAUGUAUGUGUAACCAUGGUUAUGAAACCGAGUCAGGAAAAAUUGUAAAGAAAGUAUUUGUGGUUGAGUGCAGCUCAUUGUGUAGUUAAUAGAAACAGAUGAUCAAAUUGCAGUAAGUAUAGUUUUGACCAAGUUUACUAGCACAGUCUAGCAGACUGCUACGCUGAUCUGUUUGAUAGCUCGUUAAUAAGGUUGUCUGAAUAAAGAUUAUGAAGGAUGGCUGCCACAGAAUCAGUAUGUGAUGUAUGCAUAUACAUUUAUGUUUGUGACAGCGUCUCAUGUAGAAUUCAGUAUGUAACUUAGGAUAGCCUUGUACUUCUGAUACUCCUGCAUCCAUCUCUUAAGUGCUAGGAACAUAGGUGUGUACCACAGGCUGGACUUAUAUUUUAUCAUUGUCAUUGACAUAUGAGUACUGCCUGCUUAUGCUUCUAUGAAGUUCAUUGGUAAUAAAAAGGAAUAAACUUUAGAAAAUGCUGCAUGGAUACUUAUAUUUGAUGAAACAAGGAAUCCACAUUAUGUCAGCAGAAAGUAAGUCUAGAACAGGUUAAGUUACAACUGAUGUGACUCUCCCUGCAUUUUGAAUUCAAUAUAAAAUUGUCAGUAUAUGAUCUAUUGAGAAAAUAUCUUAUUAUAAACAAAUUUGGACAGCUUCUAAGCCCUGGCAUUAGAGACCUUCCUAAAGAGAUCUGCUUUACUUGGUUCUUGUUUGGCAUCUAUAUCAAUUUCUUUUCUAGAUGCUCUGACAGAAACAACUUAAGGGAGAAUGGGCUCACUAUUUGUGGGCACAGUCUAUUACGUUAGGGAAGGUGUGGGCAAUAUGGCUGCACUAUGACAGGCAGCUCUUACACUGUCCCUCAUGAGGCAGAGAGAGGAAUGCUGGUGCUCAGCUGGCUUCCUCUUUUUCCUUUUUAUUCAGUCUCCCACAAAAUUCCAAGUCCAGCCACUGGAAAUUAACCAUCACAUCAUAGCUCCCUUCCAAGGCUCUGUGUACUGUCUAAGUUCCUGAGUAGCUGGACUACUGGACUAACCCUGAUGCAGUACAAGACAAGGCAAUGGCACUUGUGAAGAAGUGUGAUGUAGAAAUGCAGCCGAUUCACAGCACAUUGGGGAGGUUUCUGAUCAGCUCAACAUUUUGUGCAUCUAGUGUCACAUUCAUCAAGCUAAGAGGACAAUCUGCUAAUCUUUAGUUGUAUUUAUCCUGCUAUCAAUCAUUGGACAACAUGUCUAAGAAGAACAGACCCCAAGUAACAAAGCUGGAAAGUGGAGAGGAAUUAUACACUUCUUCCAUGGAUUUUUCUGAUUCAAGAGUUGAAGUAGUUUGGCUUUAUUCUGAGCAUUGUCUGGUUUCCUAGGAGAAGUUUCUUUUGCAAAUUAGUACUUGGCUUGGAAUCCUUAACUUUUAUACAUAAGAGUUCUUUUAAAAAACACAGUAUCUUGUAAAUUUCACCUUUAUCAAGCCUAAUUUACUUAAGCUUAUAGUAAAAUUUGUUUUGAGGUGCUAGGAAUUGAACUCUGGGCCAAGACUGCUGGGUGAGGCAAAGUCAUGAAACGUAAAAAUGCAUGUAUUUUCAUGUUCUGACCAAUAUAUAAAGCCAGUAAUGCUUUGUCCUACCUUUAAGAACUGAAAUGGAAUUUAAAUAAUGAUCACAAAGAAUGUAGAAGUUACAUUUGUUGUUACAUUUUAAGAAUUUUGUUAUGGGGCUGGUGAGAUGGCUCAGUGGUUAAGAGCACUGACUGUUCUUCUGAAGGUCCUGUGUUCAAAUCCCAGCAACCACAUAGUGGCUCACAACCAUCUGUAAUGAGAUCUGAUGCCCUCUUCUUGUGUGUCUAAAGACAGCUACAGUGUACUUACAUAUAAUAAUAAAUAAAUCUUUGGGCCGGAGUGAGCAGGGCUGGAGCAAGCAGAGGUCCUGAGUUUAAUUCUCAGCAACGACAUGAUGGUUCACAACCAUCUGUACAGCUACAGUGUACUCAUUUACAUAAAAUAAAU
rnacentral:lncRNA from 1 species